UGAAUACGAGACGCUAAGGCGUCGAAGUAGUGUAUGUCAUACUUCCAAGAAAAGCUUGCACUGUCAUAGAUAAAAAACGCCUGUACCAUAACCGACACAGGUGGGUAGGUAGAGUAUACUAAGGGGCGCGAGAUAACUCUCUCUAAGGAACUCGGCAAAAUAACUCCGUAACUUCGGGAGAAGGAGUGCCUUAUUCCUAAGGUUGCAAUAACAAGAUCCAAGCAACUGUUUAUCAAAAACACAGGUCUCCGCUAAGUCGUAAGACGAUGUAUGGGGACUGACGCCUGCCCAGUGCCAGAAGGUUAAAGAAGCUGGUUAGCAUUUGCGAAGCUAGUAACUGAAGCCCUGGUGAACGGCGGCCGUAACUAUAACGGUCCUAAGGUAGCGAAAUUCCUUGUCGGGUAAGUUCCGACCCGCACGAAAGGCGUAAUGAUUUGGAUACUGUCUCGGAGAGGGGCUCGGUGAAAUAGACAUGUCUGUGAAGAUGCGGACUACCUGCACCAGGACAGAAAGACCCUAUGAAGCUUUACUGUAACUUGAAAUUGAAAUUGGACUUUAUUCGCGCAGUAUAGGUGGGAGGCGUUGAUUAUAAUCUUGCGGGAUUAUUGGAGCCAUUAGUGAGAUACCACUCUUGUAAUGUUAGAUUUCUAACUUUGAAUCAUUAUCUGGUCAAAGAACAGUUUCAGGCGGGCAGUUUGACUGGGGCGGUCGCCUCCCAAACGGUAACGGAGGCGUACAAAGGUUUCCUCUGAACGGUUAGAAAUCGUAUCUAGAGUGUAAAGGCAUAAGGAAGCUUGACUGUGAGACCUACAAGUCGAGCAGGGACGAAAGUCGGUCUUAGUGAUCUGACGGUACUGAGUGGAAAGGCCGUCACUCAACGGAUAAAAGUUACUCUAAGGAUAACAGGCUGAUCUCCCCCAAGAGUUCACAUCGACGGGGAGGUUUGGCACCUCGAUGUCGGCUCAUCGCAUCCUGGGGCGGUAGUACGUCCCAAGGGUUGGGCUGUUCGCCCAUGAAAGCGGUACGCGAGCUGGGUUCAGAACGUCGUGAGACAGUUCGGUCCAUAUCCGGUGUAGGCGUUAGAAUAUUGAGAGGAGCCUUCUUUAGUACGAGAGGACCGAGAAGGACAUACCUCUGGUGUACCAGUUAUCGUGCCAACGGUAGACGCUGGGUAGCUAUGUAUGGAGUGGAUAACCGCUGAAAGCAUCUAAGUGGAAGCCCACCUCAAGAUAAGUAUUCUCA
rnacentral:rRNA from 1 species